GGUGAACGCUGGCGGCGUGCUUGAGACAUGCAAGUCGAACGGCAGUCUUCGGACUGUAGUGGCGCACGGGUGAGUAACGCGUAACUGACCUACGCCAAAGUCGCGGAUAACGAUUCGAAAGAAUCGCUAAUACGUGAUGUGCUGUCAGAUUGUGUUCUGCCAGUAAAGAUUGAUUGCUUUGGGAUGGGGUUGCGUUCCAUCAGCUAGUUGGUGGGGUAAAGGCCCACCAAGGCGACGACGGAUAGCCGGCCUGAGAGGGUGGCCGGCCACAGGGGCACUGAGACACGGGUCCCACUCCUACGGGAGGCAGCAGUUAGGAAUCUUCCACAAUGGGCGAAAGCCUGAUGGAGCGACGCCGCGUGAGGGAUGAAGGUCUUCGGAUCGUAAACCUCUGAAUCAGGGACGAAAGACACUUCGGUGGGAUGACGGUACCUGAGUAACAGCACCGGCUAACUCUGUGCCAGCCGCCGCAGUAAUAC
rnacentral:rRNA from 1 species